CCAAUUUAUUCGGCCGCGCGGCGCGGGUGCUUUCCCCGUCCGUCUAUCACUUGCUGGCCAGCGACCGGAGCAGCGCCAGCCCGAGGGUUUCGUUUCCGCGGCGGUCGGGUAAAGGUAAAAGAGAGAGAAGGAUGAGGGAGAGAGGCAAGGCGGUCCAGCCGUCGGUGGACGACCGGUACACCCAGUGGAAGUCCCUCGUCCCCGUCCUCUACGACUGGCUCGCCAACCACAACCUCGUCUGGCCCUCCCUCUCCUGCCGGUGGGGUCCGCAGCUCGAGCAGGCAACGUACAAGAAUCGUCAACGGCUAUAUCUUUCUGAGCAGACUGAUGGCAGCGUUCCUAAUACUCUUGUCAUAGCAAAUUGUGAAGUUGUCAAACCAAGGGUUGCGGCUGCAGAGCAUAUCUCCCAGUUUAACGAAGAAGCACGCUCUCCCUUUGUUAAAAAGUUCAAAACUAUCAUCCAUCCUGGGGAGGUUAACAGAAUCAGAGAGCUUCCUCAGAACGCCAAGAUAGUGGCAACACAUACUGACAGUCCUGAUGUACUUAUUUGGGAUGUUGAGGCGCAGCCUAAUCGUCAUGCUGUUUUAGGAGCUGCUGACUCUCAUCCGGAUUUGAUAUUGACUGGACAUCAAGAAAAUGCGGAAUUUGCACUUGCCAUGUGUCCUUCAGAUCCUUUUGUACUCUCUGGAGGGAAGGACAAAUCGGUUGUUCUGUGGAGCAUAAAAGAUCAUAUCUCCACUUUAGCAGAGUCAUCAGCUGCUAAAUCUCCUGCAACACCUGCAAGCUCGAGUGGUAAGCAGCCUGCAAAAGCUGGUAAUGAAAAAAGCUCAGACAGUCCUACAGUUGGGCCAAGAGGUGUGUAUCAGGGGCAUGAGGAUACUGUUGAAGAUGUGCAAUUCUGUCCUUCCAGUGCACAGGAAUUUUGUAGUGUAGGUGAUGAUGCUUGCCUCAUUCUUUGGGAUGCCCGAGCUGGUACUAGCCCAGUCAUCAAGGUUGAAAAGGCUCACAAUGCUGAUCUUCACUGCGUCGAUUGGAAUCCACAUGAUGAAAAUCUUAUUUUAACUGGAUCUGCCGAUAAUUCUGUUCGUAUGUUUGAUCGCCGGAACCUAACUUCUGGAGGAGUUGGAACACCAGUAUAUAAGUUUGAAGGCCACAAAGCUGCUGUUCUUUGUGUGCAGUGGUCUCCCGACAGGGCAUCAGUUUUUGGAAGUGCCGCAGAGGAUGGCUUCCUCAAUGUUUGGGAUCAUGAGAAGGUUGGCAAGAAGAAGGAACGUGCUGGAACAAGGAUGCCCAAUUCGCCUCCUGGAUUAUUCUUUCAACAUGCAGGGCAUAGAGCUGAAGCAAUAUGGAGCUGAUAAUAUCGAAAACUAGGGAUAUGUAACGAGGUGGUAAAAUUCUACUUCCAUGAAUUCUCAAAAAGGAAUACAAAGUUUGGCUUUGAAUUCUAGACUUGGACUAUAAUAUGGAGGCUUUGAAGGAGGGGAAACCAUUUAACCUCUACUCAGUAUAGUGGAUAACAUAAGAUGGUUCAGUCUGAUCAUGUUUUACAAAAGUCCGUGCUUGCCCCGAGAGAUAAAGUCGUAGAUUUCCACUGGAAUGCCUGUGACCCGUGGACCAUUGUUAGUGUCUCGGAUGAUGGUGAGAGUACUGGUGGUGGUGGUACAUUACAGAUAUGGCGCAUGAGUGACUUGUUAUACAGGCCCGAAGAGGAGGUUCUGGCUGAGAUGGAAAAUUUCAAAUCCCACAUUUUGCAAUGCACACCGGCGUCUUAAAUCUUCGAAGUUAUAAACGCUAUGACAUGCCUGACUCUUACUUACAUUUGUGAGAGCGCUAGUUUCUUUUUGGACAUUAAUUAUCUUUGUUGUGGAAAUUUUCGAAAAUGAUUGGGAUCGUUAGCGAGUGAAUUUGCCACAUCUGUAACUUAAAUACGAAUUUUAUGGUAGCUCAAAUUGCUGGAUUUAUCUCUC